CAGCAGCCGCGGGAAUACGGAGGGAGCUAGCGUUGUCCGGAAUUACUGGGCGUAAAGCGCACGUAGGCGGCUUUUUAAGUUAGAGGUGAAAGCCCGGAGUUCAACUCCGGAAUUGCCUUUAAGACUGGAUCGCUUGAAUCAUGGAGAGGCGGGUGGAAUUCCGAGUGUAGAGGUGAAAUUCGUAGAUAUUCGGAAGAACACCAGUGGCGAAGGCGGCCCGCUGGACAUGUAUUGACGCUGAGGUGCGAAAGCGUGGGGAGCAAACAGGAUUAGAGACCCCAGUAGUCCCUGUCUCUUAUAC
rnacentral:rRNA from 1 species